rnacentral:rRNA from 1 species
ACGAACGCUGGCGGCGUGCCUAAUACAUGCAAGUAGAACGCUGAAGGAGGAGCUUGCUUCUCUGGAUGAGUUGCGAACGGGUGAGUAACGCGUAGGUAACCUGCCUGGUAGCGGGGGAUAACUAUUGGAAACGAUAGCUAAUACCGCAUAAGAGUAGAUGUUGCAUGACAUUUGCUUAAAAGGUGCAAUUGCAUCACUACCAGAUGGACCUGCGUUGUAUUAGCUAGUUGGUGGGGUAACGGCUCACCAAGGCGACGAUACAUAGCCGACCUGAGAGGGUGAUCGGCCACACUGGGACUGAGACACGGCCCAGACUCCUACGGGAGGCAGCAGUAGGGAAUCUUCGGCAAUGGACGGAAGUCUGACCGAGCAACGCCGCGUGAGUGAAGAAGGUUUUCGGAUCGUAAAGCUCUGUUGUAAGAGAAGAACGAGUGUGAGAGUGGAAAGUUCACACUGUGACGGUAUCUUACCAGAAAGGGACGGCUAACUACGU